rnacentral:rRNA from 1 species
GUGGGGAAUAUUGGACAAUGGGCGAAAGCCUGAUCCAGCAAUGCCGCGUGAGUGAUGAAGGCCUUAGGGUUGUAAAGCUCUUUUACCAGGGAUGAUAAUGACAGUACCUGGAGAAUAAGCUCCGGCUAACUCCGUGCCAGCAGCCGCGGUAAUACGGAGGGAGCUAGCGUUGUUCGGAAUUACUGGGCGUAAAGCGCACGUAGGCGGGUACUCAAGUCAGAGGUGAAAGCCCGGGGCUCAACCCCGGAACUGCCUUUGAAACUAGGUAACUAGAAUCUUGGAGAGGUCAGUGGAAUUCCGAGUGUAGAGGUGAAAUUCGUAGAUAUUCGGAAGAACACCAGUGGCGAAGGCGACUGACUGGACAAGUAUUGACGCUGAGGUGCGAAAGCGUGGGGAGCAAACAGGAUUAGAAACCCUGGUAGUCC